rnacentral:lncRNA from 1 species
UUUUAUUAAUCUUCCCUACUCCAAGUUCUUCAAUACAGUUCUGGAAAUCAGCUGUCUCUAGGGGGUGCACUGGUUGGCCAUUUAGUCUGUCAUCCACCCCCAGUACACUGUUAAAAUCACCCAGAAUUAGCCAUGGUCCAGUAUAUUGGAGGUUUCUCAAGUCUGCCACAGUGGCAUUCUUUGUUGAGUGGUGUGAAGUCCAUAUACAAAGGUGAUGUUGCUGGAGAAAUCUGAGUGCUUGUCUAUCACCUUGCAAUGGAACAGUUGAUCAGUAACUUGUAGAAUUGUCAUCUGAAGAUUGGCUGCUUUCCACAUAAUCCAUAUUCUUCCAUUGGGAGCAUA